rnacentral:rRNA from 1 species
UACAGAGGGGGCAAGCGUUGUUCGGAAUUACUGGGUGUAAAGGGCGCGUAGGCGGCCUGCUAAGUCGAACGUGAAAUCCCCGGGCUUAACCUGGGAAUGGCGCUUGAAACUACGGGGCUCGAGUAUGGCAGAGGGAGGUGGAAUUCCACGUGUAGCGGUGAAAUGCGUAGAGAUGUGGAGGAACACCGAUGGCGAAGGCAGCCUCCUGGGCCAAUACUGACGCUCAUGCACGAAAGCGUGGGGAGCAAACAGG